AUUAUUAACAUCACAUCAUCACAGCUUACGUGGUUUUACCCAGUUACUUGCAUUUCAAAUUCUACAUAAACUGUUUCCUUCGUUGAAUUAUGGGUCUUCUGAGAUGCUACCUUUAGAGAAGAGGUGCUUUGUGGAUUUGAAAACAUACCUUGCAAGAAACUCUGAUUGUGCGCGCUUACGAACAUCAAUGGAAGGAUAUCUUGAUGCUUAUGACCCAAAUAGUUCUGUCACACCGGCUGGAAUUUUCAUCAAUCGAGUUGAGGUGAGGGUUUGUGUUGG